CCUACGGGGGGCAGCAGUGAGGAAUAUUGGUCAAUGGGCGCGAGCCUGAACCAGCCAAGUAGCGUGAAGGAUGACUGCCCUACGGGUUGUAAACUUCUUUUAUAAAGGAAUAAAGUGAGGCACGUGUGCCUUUUUGUAUGUACCUUAUGAAUAAGGAUCGGCUAACUCCGUGCCAGCAGCCGCGGUAAUACGGAGGAUCCGAGCGUUAUCCGGAUUUAUUGGGUUUAAAGGGAGCGUAGAUGGGUUGUUAAGUCAGUUGUGAAAGUUUGCGGCUCAACCGUAAAAUUACAGUUGAUACUGGCAGCCUUGAGUACAGGAGAGGUAGGCGGAAUUCGUGGUGUAGCGGUGAAAUGCUUAGAUAUCACGAAGAACUCCGAUUGCGAAGGCAGCCUACUGGACUGCCACUGACGUUGAUGCUCGAAAGUGUGGGUAUCAAACAGGAUUAGAUACCCCGGUAGUC
rnacentral:rRNA from 1 species